rnacentral:rRNA from 1 species
AUUCACGGAGAGUUUGAUCCUGGCUCAGGACGAACGCUGGCGGCGUGCCUAAGACAUGCAAGUCGUGCGC